rnacentral:rRNA from 1 species
AGAGUUUGAUCAUGGCUCAGAUUGAACGCUGGCGGCGUGCCUAACACAUGCAAGUCGAGCGGCAGCGCGGGAGCAAUCCUGGCGGCGAGCGGCGGACGGGUGAGCAAUAUUUGGGAAUCUGCCUAUUAGUGGGGGACAACCCGGGGAAACUCGGGCUAAUACCGCAUACGCACUACGGUGGAAAGCCGGGGACCGCAAGGCCUGGCGCUAAUAGAUGAGCCCAAAUCGGAUUAGCUAGUUGGUGAGGUAACGGCUCACCAAGGCUACGAUCCGUAGCUGGUCUGAGAGGACGACCAGCCACACCGGAACUGAGACACGGUCCGGACUCCUACGGGAGGCAGCAGUGGGGAAUAUUGGACAAUGGGCGAAAGCCUGAUCCAGCGACGCCGCGUGGGUGAAGAAGGCCUGCGGGCUGUAAAGCCCUUUCAGUGGGGAAGAAAAGCCUCGACCUAACACGUCGGGGUCUUGACGUAACCCAUAGAAGAAGCACCGGCUAACUCUGUGCCAGCAGCCGCGGUAAUACAGAGGGUGCGAGCGUUAAUCGGAAUUACUGGGCGUAAAGCGCGCGUAGGCGGCUUUGCAAGUCGGGUGUGAAAUCCCCAGGCUUAACCUGGGAACUGCAUUCGAGACUGCAUUGCUAGAGUAUGGGAGAGGGAAGUGGAAUUUCCGGUGUAGCGGUGAAAUGCGUAGAUAUCGGAAGGAACAUCAGUGGCGAAAGCGACUUCCUGGACCAAUACUGACGCUCAUGUGCGAAAGCGUGGGGAGCAAACAGGAUUAGAUACCCUGGUAGUCCACGCCAUAAACGAUGAGAACUGGACGUCGGGAGGGUCUGCCUCUCGGUGUCGUAGCUAACGCGUUAAGUUCUCCGCCUGGGGAGUACGGCCGCAAGGUUGAAACUCAAAUGAAUUGACGG